UACGUAGGAUGCAAGCGUUGUUCGGAAUCAUUGGGCGUAAAGCGUACGUAGGCGGUGCCAUAAGUCUAAUAUUAAAGGUCAGGGCUUAACUCUGAAAAUGUAUUGGAAACUGUGAUACUGGAGGUCGGUAGAGGAAGUUGGAAUUCUCAGUGUAGCGGUGAAAUGCGUAGAUAUUGGGAAGAACACCGGUGGCGAAAGCGAACUUCUGGGCCGAUUCUGACGCUGAGGUACGAAAGCGUGGGGAGCAAACGGG
rnacentral:rRNA from 1 species